CAGGGCAGGGGCCAGGGGCAGGGUUUAGCAGGUCGUUUUAGCUGUGGAUCUGUGUGGAUCCCUGACAACCCCUCAGUGGUCUCUGCUCCACCAGGAGAAUGAGCAGCCAGACCCGGAAAAUCUGCCCCUGCUC